rnacentral:rRNA from 1 species
GAUGAACGCUGGCGGCGUGCCUAAUACAUGCAAGUCGAGCGAACAGACGAGGAGCUUGCUCGUCUGACGUUAGCGGCGGACGGGUGAGUAACACGUGUAUAACCUACCUAUAAGACUGGGAUAACUUCGGGAAACCGGCUCUAAUACCGUAUAAUAUAUUGCACCGCAUGGGUCAAUAGUAAAAGACGGUUUUGCUGUCACUUAUAGAUGGAUAUCCGCCGCAUUAGAUAGUUGGUAAGGUAAAGGCUUAUCAAGGCAACGAUGCGUAGCCGACCUGAGAGGGUGAUAGCCCGCAUGAGAAGGGGAACGCGGACCAGACUCCUACGGGAGGCAGCAGUAUGGAAUGGUCCGCAGUAGGCGAAAGCAUGACGGAGCAGCGCGGCGUGAGUGAUAGAGGUGUCCGGAUCGGAAAACUCUGCUAUGAGGUAAGAACCAAUGUGUAAGUAACUGUGCACGUCUUGACGGUAACUAAUCAGAAAGCACCGGCUAACUACGUG